rnacentral:misc_RNA from 1 species
CAAAUCUUUUGUGGGGGGAGUGCGGAAGGUUUAGCUGGCAAUCUAGAUUUAUAUUUUGCUUGGCCGAUCUGACCCAUACCACCACAACAUUGGCACAGGGCCGCAAGGCUCUGAUGUUUACGCUUGUUUGUUUGACAGAUUUAUAUGAGACUAAAAUAUAGA